AAAAAAAAAAAAGAGGAAAAUGGAGCUCAGGUUAUUGGCGAAGUUGUUCUUGGAAGAGCGAGGCGAAAAUCUUGAAAUAAAUGCCGAAAAUAUACACAGAAUAAUAAGAAAUAAAAAAACUUCUAUUUAAAAAAAAGCUAGGGUUUCGAGAUCUAAAAGAUGGGAAGUUAACAGAGAGAGAAACAGUUGGUCUCUCUCAGUUUCUGUGGAUUAUGGAUUAUUGUUUGGAUGUUAGUCUGGCGAGGCGGCCGAUAUUUUUUAGAGAAUAUAGAGUGGGAAAAAAGAAUCUAAAUAGCGAAAUAAAAUGUUGUAUUGAAUCUUUUGGUCUAAAUUUUUUUUUUUUAAUUUUUAUUUCCUAAAGUACAGAAGGCAACGGAUUUAAACGGAAAAGGCAUGGAGCGGGAAACAAACAGUUAGCCUGGUCUGG
rnacentral:lncRNA from 1 species